AUUUUCUUUUUCUCCUACCAGCCGCCGCCACUAUCUCCUUCACCUGCACGCCAUCUCCCCUCCUCUCCCUUGCUCCUUCCACCGCAAGCCAAGCGCCCCCUCUGAUUCUUCUUCUCCACCGAGAAAGCACAAGCUGCAAUCCCAGCACCAGUAGCUCUCUCCAAUCGAUUUCCCUCCUCUCUCCUGUCCUUCCUCCACCAGACACGAGCACCAGCAGCCCCUCAAUUUCUUUUUCCCCCACGCCGCAGCCGCCUCAUCCGAGAAGCAGAAGAGGAAGCCAAGGAAGGGGAGGAGAAGAACACCACCGCCGAGCACGAAGAGGACUGGAGCCGCCCGAGGAGGGGGAGGACGCCGUCGACCCAGCGCCCGUACGACCCCACCGAUGCAGCAGCUCGGCACGGCACGGCCUCAACCCCGCCCGGCCUCACCUCGCCACUGCUUCAGCCACCUUCAUCCGCAGACCACCGGUCCCUAUGGGAGGAGCUGACCGAUGUUUCAGACGACCGGAGGAUCCAGGAGGACUUCCCAGAAGCCCAGGAGAUCCAAGAGGACCCCGGAGGCCUAGGAAGACUACGAAGAUACACCAAGUUCACGCCCAUCUACGAUUUGAAUACCUAUUAGGCAUUUUCUUACUAGCUAUGCUAUGUUUUACUUUCCUGUUAUGAUGAAAUGAACCUGCAUAGCCAUUUAUUUACCAGCAUUCCUUGUACUCCCAUGUUUAUCUUGAUUGAUUAUUGAGAUGCUUUGGCUACCAUGUGUA